CUUGUUAAGUGGUUGCAUUUAGUGCUGUGUUCAUGUGAUUUAAGAGCUCAGCAUAGGUAGCCUAUAUCCUGGGUGACCAAACUCUAGCCCAGCCCAUUACUCUGACGGUUUUUGAAUCCUUGCUUUUUAUUUUAUUCACUCUGAUAGUCAGAGAGCCGAGAACUGUUACAUAGUUCCAUAUCUGAAAUGAGACUUGUGUCCAUCAAGUUCAGC